rnacentral:rRNA from 1 species
UACGUAGGGGGCAAGCGUUGUCCGGAUUUAUUGGGCGUAAAGAGCUCGUAGGUGGUUUGGUAAGUCGGAUGUGAAAUCUCCAGGCUCAACCGGGGAACUGCGUCUGAUACUGGAUGGCUUGAGUUUGGGAGAGGGAUGCGGAAUUCCAGGUGUAGCGGUGAAAUGCGUAGAUAUCUGGAGGAACACCGGUGGCGAAGGCGGCAUCCUGGACCAACACUGACGCUGAGUGAGCGAAAGCCAGGGGAGCAAACGGG